AGGCCUUGACAUCGGAUGCAAAGUCCCAGAGAUGGGAUGGAGGAUAUCAUCCAGACAGGUGGUGCAUGGUUGUCGUCAGUUCGUGUCGUGAGAUGUUGGGUUAAGUCCCGCAACGAACGCAACCCCUGUGGCAUGUUGCUAACAUUAAGUUGAGGACUCAUGCCAGACUGCCGGUGACAAACCGGAGGAAGGCGGGGAUGACGUCAAAUCAUCAUGCCCCUUAUGGCCUGGGCUACACACGUACUACAAUGGCGCCUACAAAGAGCAGCGAGCCUGCAAGGGCAAGCGAAUCUCAUAAAGGGCGUCCCAGUUCGGAUUGAAGUCUGCAACCCGGCUUCAUGAAGUUGGAAUCACUAGUAAUCGCAGAUCAGCAUGCUGCGGUGAAUACGUUCUCGGGCC
rnacentral:rRNA from 1 species